GAUGAACGCUGGCGGCGUGCCUAAUACAUGCAAGUCGAGCGAACGGACGAGAAGCUUUCUUCUCUGAUGUUAGCGACGGACGGGUGAGUAACACGUGGAUAACCUACCUAUAAUACUUGGAUAACUUCGGGAAACCGGAGCUAAUACCGGAUAAUAUUUUGAACCGCUUGGUUCAAAAGUUAUAGACGGUCUUGCUGUCACUUAUAGAUGGAUCCGCGCUGCAUUAGCUAGUUGGUAAGGUAACGGCUUACCAAGGCAACGAUGCAUAGCCGACCUGAGAGGAUGAUCGGCCACACUGGAACUGAGACACGGUCCAGACUCCUACGGGAGGCAGCAGUAGGGAAUAUUCGGCAAUGGGCGCAAGCCUGACCGAGCAACGCCGCGUGAGUGAAGAAGGUCUUCGGAUUGUAAAACUCUGUUAUUAGGAAAGAAAAUCUGUGUAUGUAACUGUGCACAUCUUGACGGUACCUAAACAGAAAGCAACGGCUAACUACGUG
rnacentral:rRNA from 1 species